GUGUCAGCAGCCGCGGUAACACGUAGGAGGCAAGCGUUAUCCGGAUUUACUGGGCGUAAAGCGCGUGCAGGUGGUUCGGUAAGUUGGAUGUGAAAGCUCCUGGCUCAACUGGGAGAGGUCGUUCAAAACUGCCGGACUUGAGAAUAGUAGAGGAAGAUGGAAUUCCCGGUGUAGUGGUGAAAUGCGUAGAUAUCGGGAGGAACACCAGUGGCGAAAGCGGUCUUCUGGACUAUUUCUGACACUCAGACGCGAAAGCUAGGGUAGCAAACGGGAUUAGAAACCCCUGUAGUCC
rnacentral:rRNA from 1 species